UUACGGCCAUAUCAUGUUGAAGCACCGGUUCCCGUAUGAUCGCCAAAGUUGAACAACGUAGAACCUGGUCAGAGCCUAGAUGGGUGACCAGUUGGGAAUACCACGUGCUGUAA